GAUGAAGAACGCAGUGAAAUGCGAUAAUUAAUGUGAAUUGCAGAAUUUAGUGAAUCAUCGAAUCUUUGAACGCACAUUGCGCCCCUUGGUAUUCCGGGGGGCAUGCCUGUUCGAGCGUCAUUUCAACCCUCAAGCACUGCUUGGUCUUGGGCCACGCCGGCGACGGCAGGCCUCAAACGUAGUGGCGGCACCAUCGGUUCCCUCAGUGUAGUAAUAUCUCUCGCUGCUGGGCCCUGGUGGUCGCUAGCCAGCAACCUCAAUUUUUUCUGGUUGACCUCGGAUCAGGUAGGGAUACCCGCUGAACUUAAGCAUAUCAAUAAGCGGAGGA
rnacentral:misc_RNA from 1 species